rnacentral:rRNA from 1 species
AACGAACGCUGGCGGCAGGCCUAACACAUGCAAGUCGAGCGCCCAGCAAUGGGAGCGGCAGACGGGUGAGUAACGCGUGGGAACCUUCCUGAUAGUACGGAAUAGCCCAGGGAAACUUGGAGUAAUACCGUAUACGCCCGCAAGGGGAAGAUUUAUCGCUGUCAGAUGGGCCCGCGUAGGAUUAGCUAGUUGGUGAGGUAACGGCUCACCAAGGCGACGAUCCUUAGCUGGUUUGAGAGAAUGACCAGCCACACUGGGACUGAGACACGGCCCAGACUCCUACGGGAGGCAGCAGUGGGAAUCUUGGACAAUGGGCGCAAGCCUGAUCCAGCCAUGCCGCGUGAGUGACGAAGGUCUUCAGAUUGUAAAGCACUUUUGCCAGGGACGAUAAUGACGGUACCUGGAGAAUAAGCCCCGGCUAACUUCGUGCCAGCAGCCGCGGUAAU